GUAAUAAACGUGUUUCAGCAGCCCAAAGGUUAGAUAUAGCAGCGGGUCAUUGACCCGCCGCAAUAGGCCCUUACAUUUCCCCCACCCGAACCUAAAUUUUCCCUCUGUUUUUUUUUUCCCUGUUCAUUUGAGCGCCUUUUCGUUUUUAGCUAGUCUCCCACACUCUCUCUCUUUCUCUCAGACACCGAAAAUCUCCUCACUGUCUCAUCUCUACCACUGUCCACAAACCCAUAGCCACAGCCACCACCUCCCAACCCCCAACCAAAACCACCACCACCACCCAAAAAUCGAGCCUAGUUAGGUCCAAAAAGAAAUGGGUCAGGUCUAGCCCGACCCAUUUCUCUUAUCCUUUCUAACCCUAACGGUUCAUGCCCCUAAUCUAGAACCUUCCCUCUUAACAGAAACCCAUGGCUUGAGCAACCUGAUCUCAUCACCUCAAACUGGCACCGCCAUCAGUAGAGGCGGCUUGCUCCUCAUCAAAAACCCUUACCGAGAUCUCUCUAAUCUAGGUUCGAGCUCUCUCUCUCUCCCUCUAGACCUUGAUCGACCUUUCCGAUAAACAUUCCUUUGAGCUUUGAAUUCGACCACUCAGUUUUGUCCAACUUGGUUCGCAAAGUUCCAGACUAUCGUUGUUGUUUCUGUUGCCCGCAUGGAGUUGUACAGCUUGGCUCUUUAAAUAAAGCACCAGUGAAGCAAGGAAAUGCAGUGAACACACUACACAGCACAAUCACUUUUGAAAGUUCUCAAGAAAGAAUAGGUGGAAAGGAUAGCCAAAGAAGAGAAUACAAGCAAAACCAUAAGAACUGGUGGAGUAAGGGGGAGCAAUCAACCGCUUUAGCAACUGCUACUGGUUCUAGCUUACAGCUUGGAGUAGAUACUGUUCCAGUCCUUGUUGGCCCUGUGUCCUACUUGUUGCUGUCUAAACCUGCAAAGGGUGUUGAGAAGAACUUCUCUCUCCUCUCCCUUCUUGAAAAAAUCCUUCCUAUCUACAAGUGAGAUUUUUUAAACUUACCAUCUAUGUCAUUUAUUCCGGAUCUAUGGAAGAACAACCGCAUUUCUUGCAAGUGUUAAAAGAUAUUUUUAAACACUUUAGAAUUUUGAUUAUAGUAUUAGAUUAAUUUCAA